rnacentral:tRNA from 1 species
GCUGGUUUGCUCGAGAGGUUAAGGGGGAAGACUUAAGAUCUUUUGCACAAAAGUGCGCAUGGGUUCGAACCCCAAUAGCCAGCA